UGCCAUUGCCUCUGUCGUGCACCAGCUCACUGCAGACCUGGCACCGGCCAAGGACACAGGGAAUUGCACCAGAGGCUACAAAUGAUAUGGCGGUGUGUAAACCAGUGGCAAGGACAAAAAAUAGGGUCAGGACUGGUGUGAAAUGCACACUGUACAGAGCAUAUGCUGGUCCUCUUCCAGAUCGUCACGUCAUGGCCAGCGGAGAGAAACUAAAAGACAUACGUCCACAACCGGGGAUAUGCAAAUUGCUGCACGGGCUUGAGAACCUUACUUUGGUGGACUCUAAAUUUGGCCCUGUGCCAUUUGGAUCUGUGCUUUCUUAUCAGUGCCCUCCUGAAAUAAGCAGAGACAUUAUUAAGCAUCCAGGUGCCCCGGAAUUUCCUCAGUUGCCUGUUGACGGUUACAACUUUAAGUUUCCACUAGAUUUUGAGCCCAACUACAAGCAACAUUGCCACUUGGACAGCAUAAAGGUAUCACACGAGAUUUGUGCUGCUACUGAAGCAGAAACCCGACAGCAAUCAGAAUGCCAGCUGUGGACCCAGGUACGCAAACCCCGACUUACAGCCAGCAGAUUCCGUGAAAUAUGCCAUGUUCGCGGGGAGUCUUGUAAAUACAUUUUUUUCUUUCAAUGCAAAAUGGACCAAAUUUGUAAACUGAUGAGAAUUGAAUUUAGAUGUGUGUGUGUAUAUAUACAGAAUAUACACACAGUAUGCUUUUUAUAUCUGUAUGUACAGCUUUUUUUGCUCAUUGUUUCUUA